GCGGCAGCCGGGCCGGGACGGCCGGCCCGUGUGGGAGCGCUGCGCCCUCCGCCUUCUGGGGAGACACGGCGGUAUCAGGUAACCCAGGUAAUUAGCUGGUGAAAAGCUGUUGGUUGCCAUUGCUUCAGCAUGUUUCUGCUGGUUCCUCAGCUACUGUAUGGAGAGAAGCUGGAUUAUUUUGUUUUUGAUUAUCUCUCAGAGAUAACCAUAUGCCUGCUCACUACUGCAAAACUGAAAUCUUCUAAGGAGACUCUGCAAAGAUCAGCUAUCACAGAUAUGGAGAGUGGGAAGAAAUUUCCAGACACCAUUGAAAGUGCGAAUGUUUCCCUCGAGAAAGUAAAAAGAAAGAAAUCACAAGGAAACUUGUCUGUCUUGGCCUGGGGUUCAUUGUGAGGGAACAGUGUCUCCCCUGAGAAUCUGUGAUCAUAGACCUGCCUUCACACAGUUUGGUUGGAAAAGCAAUGACUUUGAUUUAGUAGCAGCUGAAAGGUACAAUAUAGGAUUUCCUGUACUGGAACAUUUUCCUGAUGGACCGUUCAUCCUCUCCAAGCCCCCUGGCAUGGAGGGGUCAGUCUCCUUUGGCACGGUGGCUGAACAGCUAUGGUACGAAAUUGGUGAUCCUCAGCGUUUCCCCUUACCUGAUGUAACUUGUGACUUUUCUCAAGUCUCUAUUACUGAAAUUCCAGUCAGUGACUGAUGUUUUUGUUUUUAAAUGUUACAUUUCCUCUCUCUCUUUC